rnacentral:RNase_P_RNA from 5 species
AGAGUCGCCCGGAUCACUGCGUUACUUAAGAGCCUAAUUAACUUUUAAGCACCGAGGAAAGUCCGGACUCCAAUGGGCAAAGUUGUGGGUAAUUCCCACCCGGAGCGAUCCGCGGGAUUAGUGCAACAGAGAGUAAACCGCCAAUAGCAAUAUUGGUAAGGGUGAAACGGUGGUGUAAGAGACCACCAGUGCGUGUAGCAAUAUACGUAGCUAUGUAAACCCAACUUGGAGCAAGACCAUGCAGGUGGCGUUUGAGUGUGCCCACACGAGUCACCGGGUAGGUUGCUUGAAUCUGUAAGUAAUUACAGAUCUAGAUGGAUGGUGAUCUCGCUAGCAAUAGCAAGACAGAAUCCGGCUUAUAGGGCGACUCUUCUU